UACAGAGGUCUCAAGCGUUGUUCGGAUUCACUGGGCGUAAAGGGUGCGCAGGCGGCCGUGUGUGUGAGGCGUGAAAGCCCGAUGCUUAACAUCGGAAUUGCACCUCAAACUACACGGCUAGAGCAUUGGAGAGGGUAGCGGAAUUCACGGUGUAGCAGUGAAAUGCGUAGAUAUCGUGAGGAACGCCAGAGGCGAAGGCGGCUACCUGGACAAUUGCUGACGCUCAGGCACGAAAGCGUGGGGAGCGAUCCGG
rnacentral:rRNA from 1 species